UAUAUAGGGACACCUGUACUCCUAUUGGCUGCAGGUGUGUGCAUAAUUUUCUCUCAGGCUGUUCGCUGCCUAAGCAGCGGGGUAAACCACUAGGAGCAGAGCUCCCCUAUUGGGCUCUGCUCCACUCAUAGAACUGGAGAUACAACUCCGUGAACUAUCGCUUCCAUCUCUGCUGAUCACAUCUGCCAAUCAAGUUCUCCAUAUCUAAGGAACUAAACACAGCCGGCGACACCUCGAGAKAUCUCCGUCCGACAAACUGCUAUGGUGGCCGCGGCUGCAUCACAUAGAAACGACUAGUUCUGGCAAAGAUGCUGGGAAAUUCUAGAUGUGCGGCAGCUAAGAUGGCGAGGAACCUCCUUGUGCGCUCUCCUCUCCUGUGGCCUGCUCCCGAUGAUCAACCAUGUGCUAUUAACCAAGCAUUGGCUCAGCUGAGUCACUCACCUGUGAGGAGAACCCUCCUACUGCUGUUUAAAGUAGCCCUGCCAUCACUAUUAGACAUUGAGAACACAUAUCCAUGUGCCUGAUGUCUUUUCUUUGUGGGGUUUGUCUUACACAGCCUACAGUCUACUGCAUUUUAUAAUUGAAGAUCACCAACUACAUAUACACAUGCUUGUUAGAGCAUCUGGAAGACAAAAUUCAAUUUAGAAUCAGUUUGAUGAGGUGACUAACAUUACGUUUUACUAUUGUAACAGUGAUGAGAAUUAUAUUUCCCAGUCAAGUGCCCAGGCUUUUGCCGUAGAUGGUAGAGUUCUCGUCUCUGGACCACACGAUCUUAAGAUUGCAUUCCGCUAAGGCACUUCUCUCUCUACAUUGGUUGGCUACAUUGGUGACCAGGCUGGGAAACGUUUGAUACGCUUAUGGGGCCUGGGCACAYGAAUGCUCCUAGAGAGAGGGGGGRAUACUGAAGCAUGCGUUGAUGACAGUUCUACUGUCUCCAUUACAGGCUAAGGCUUUUGGCAUAGAUGGUAAAGCGCUCAUUUCUGGACUGCAACAUUGUAAGAUUGUGCCCCCCCCCACCGGCAAUAUAUUUAGAUACUUMAAAUACUGCUUGAGUCACCUUAGCUACAGUAUUUGUCUCUGUACACAAUAAAUGGUGAAACACUAAA